AGCGAACGCUGGCGGCAGGCUUAACACAUGCAAGUCGAGCGGGCAUCCUUGUGGUGUCGGCGGCAGACGGGUGAGUAACGCGUGGGAACGUGCCCUUCGGUUCGGAAUAACUCAGGGAAACUUGAGCUAAUACCUGAUACGCCCUUUUGGGGAAAGGUUUACCGCCGAAGGAUCGGCCCGCGUCUGAUUUGCUAGUUGGUGGGGUUAUGGCCCACCGAGGCGACGAUCAGUAGCUGGUCUGAGAGGAUGAUCAGCCACACUGGGACUGAGACACGGCCCAGACUCCUACGGGAGGCAGCAGUGGGGAAUAUUGGACAAUGGGGGCAACCCUGAUCCAGCCAUGCCGCGUGAGUGAUGAAGGCCUUAGGGUUGUAAAGCUCUUUUCCCCGGGACGAUAAUGACGGUACCGGAGGAAUAAGCCCCGGCUAACUUCGUG
rnacentral:rRNA from 1 species